rnacentral:rRNA from 1 species
UACGUAGGCAGCGAGCGUUGUUCGGAGUUACUGGGCGUAAAGGGUGUGUAGGCGGUUCUUUAAGUUUGGUGUGAAAUCUCCCGGCUCAACCGGGAGGGUGCGCCGAAUACUGAGGGACUUCGAGUGCGGGAGAGGAAAGUGGAAUUCCUGGUGUAGCGGUGAAAUGCGUAGAUAUCAAGAGGAACACCUGAGGUGAAGACGGGUUGCUGGGCUGACACUGACGCUGAGGCGCGAAAGCCAGGGGAGCAAACGGG